rfam:Loxodonta africana unplaced genomic scaffold scaffold_11, whole genome shotgun sequence.
GCCCUGGUGGCACAAUAGCUAAGUGAUCAGCUGCUAACUGAAAGGCUGGUGGUUCAAAUCCACCCAGUGGUU